UACGGCUCAGUAACACGUGGAUAAUCUGCCCUAAGGUCAGGUAUAACUCCGGGAAACUGGUGAUAAUCCCUGAUAUGUCAUAGAAACUGGAAUGUUCUGUGAUUAAAAGCUCCGGCGCCUUAGGAUGAAUCUGCGGUCUAUCAGGUUGUAGUGGGUGUAGAGUACCUACUAGCCUACGACGGAUACGGGUUGUGAGAGCAAGAGCCCGGAGAUGGAUUCUGAGACAUGAAUCCAGGCCCUACGGGGCGCAGCAGGCGCGAAAACUUUACAAUGCGGGAAACCGCGAUAAGGGGAUACUGAGUGCCAGCAUAUUAUGUUGGCUGUCCACCUGUAUAAACAGCAGGUGUUAGCAAGGGCCGGGCAAGACCGGUGCCAGCCGCCGCGGUAACACCGGCGGCCCGAGUGGUGGCCACUAUUAUUGGGUCUAAAGGGUCCGUAGCCGGUUUGAUCAGUCUUCCGGGAAAUCUGACAGCUCAACUGUUAGGCUUCUGGGGGAUACUGUCAGGCUUGGGACCGGGAGAGGUAAGAGGUACUACAGGGGUAGGAGUGAAAUCUUGUAAUCCUUGUGGGACCACCAGUGGCGAAGGCGUCUUACCAGAACGGGUCCGACGGUGAGGGACGAAAGCUGGGGGCACGAACCGGAUUAGAUACCCGGGUAGUCCCAGCCGUAAACGAUGCUCGCUAGGUGUCUGGUACGGUGCGACCGUUUCAGGUGCCGCAGGGAAGCCGUGAAGCGAGCCACCUGGGAAGUACGGCCGCAAGGUUGAAACUUAAAGG
rnacentral:rRNA from 1 species